CAGUGCAUCUGGACUUGGUUCAAGUGGCACCAGCCAAAUCCCUGCCUUACUGACCUCUCCCCUGGAGGAGCAGGAGCAGCGCUCAAGGCCGCCCUGGGAGGGCUGAGAGGCAGGCUCUGGACUGGGGACACAGGGAUAGCUGAGCCCCAGCUGGGGGUGGAAGCUGAGCCAGGGACAGUCACAGAGGAACAAGAUCAAGAUGCGCUUUAACUGAGAAGCCCCCAAGGCAGAGGCUGAGAAUCAGAAGACAUUUCAGCAGACAUCUACAAAUCUGAAGGACAAAACAUGGUUCAAGCAUCUGGGCACAGGCGCUCGGGCCACUGUAUCAGGUCCACCCGUGGCUCCAAAAUGGUCUCCUGGUCCGUGAUAGCAAAGAUCCA
rnacentral:lncRNA from 1 species